rnacentral:misc_RNA from 1 species
ACCAGAGGAAAAACGUGUAUACUGCAACAUCAAGAAUGAUUUUGACUUGAAUUGGCCACACGCAGCCACAUUGCGUCCCGGGAGGCGUAUAUGUCAAUGGCUCUGUACAUGCUAUUGUACAAUCCCCAUUAGGAGGUGGAGGUGGUAGAAUCAUAACUUGUGAUGGUGGCAUACUCUUCUUCUUCUUGUAAGAACCCAUAGGAGAAGUUGUAGGUGCAGGAAUGGGCAUAUAAUAGUGGUUGGGUUGAAUUGUUG